rnacentral:rRNA from 1 species
CCUACGGGUGGCAGCAGUGAGGAAUAUUGGUCAAUGGGCGCGAGCCUGAACCAGCCAAGUAGCGUGAAGGAUGACUGCCCUACGGGUUGUAAACUUCUUUUAUAAAGGAAUAAAGUGAGGCACGUGUGCCUUUUUGUAUGUACUUUAUGAAUAAGGAUAGGCUAACUCCGUGCCAGCAGCCGCGGUAAUACGGAGGAUCCGAGCUUUGUCCGGAGUUAUUGGGUUUAAAGGGAGCGUAAAUGGGUGGUUAAGUCAGUUGUGAAAUAUUGCGGGUCAACCGGAAAAUUGCAAUUGAUAAUGGCAGCCUUGAGUACAGUUGAGGUAGGCGGAAUACGUGGUGUAGCGGUGAAAUGCUUAGAUAGCACGAAGAACUCCGAUUGCGAAGGCAGCCUACUAAACUGCCACUGACAUUGAUGCUCGAAAGUGUGGGUAUCAAACAGGAUUAGAUACCCCGGUAGUC